rnacentral:rRNA from 1 species
UAAUACGAAGGGUGCAAGCGUUACUCGGAAUUACUGGGCGUAAAGCGUGCGUAGGUGGUUUGUUAAGUCUGAUGUGAAAGCCCUGGGCUCAACCUGGGAACUGCAUUGGAUACUGGCAAGCUAGAGUGCGGUAGAGGGUGGUGGAAUUCCCGGUGUAGCAGUGAAAUGCGUAGAGAUCGGGAGGAACAUCUGUGGCGAAGGCGACCGCCUGGACCAGCACUGACACUGAGGCACGAAAGCGUGGGGAGCAAACAGG